UUUAGCCGGGAUAAACGCACGGUGACCCCAUCUUUUCUUUUAAUAUUCUCAAAGCAUUUUCUGAAAGCUAUCUUUUCCCUAAGAUUUUAACAACUCUAUCAUUUUGUUUAGUUUUUAAUUACCAAAUGGUGUUUUUUCCUGUAUAAUCCAUACAAAAUGUGUCAUUUUGUCACAUCCUGUAGCUUGAUAAAACGCACGGUGACCUAUCAUUCUGAUUUUAUUUUUCAACAUAAUUCAAUAGAUAAUACGUUUUGGCAAAGUAUGAACAAAUUCUAUCAUUUUUAUUUAAGACUCCUAUACCACCUUAAUGUCUUUUUGUUGUUUGGAUAUACAAGUACCCGGCCACGUCUACUCUGUGUUUUGAUAACAAGUAUUUCAAUUUGUAUUCAUCUAAAGAGUUAAGUCUGAUGUUAUAGCUUGUUCUUAUGUUGUACUUUAACAGAACUGUCGAUGUUUAGAGUGAGGGUUGGGAGACCGGUAACAUUUUGAAGCCUGUCACAUUAUGUAUAUAUGUGCCUGGUCCAAGUCAUACAUAUUUUGGUCAAACUCAGAUAACACCUUGAUGAGUAGCAAUGGUAUGAAAUUCACCACUAUCGAUCAAGAUAAUGAUACCCCUGAAAACGGUAACUGUGCACGACUGAAUAGGGGAUCUUGGUGGUAUAGUCAAUGUAUCGGUAGUGAUCUCACCAGCAGAUAUGGGCCUAUUUGGGGAGGAUAUACACAUAUCAAUUCAACAAGUAUGAUGAUCAGAAAAUUUUCAGUUGUUUUUCAUAGACAAAUAAAUAGAGAUUUCUAAUUUGUUCCUUUUUUAAUCAUGCUGUUAUCAUAAUACUUUUUUCUUGUGUAAAAAUACAGAAUACAAGUUUAAAAAUUAUA